GUGACCUUUGAGCUCAUGCCAUGUAGAAGCUGUGGCCUCUCAGCUAACACUCCCCCUACUUCACUUCCUCUCCAGCACCAGGACCGGAAGCCUGAGACUGCAUUUUGCACACUCCCUGCCAGCUGGUUCUGCCAGUGGGAGGCACUGGGAGGAGACUGAAAAGUGGAUGAAAGGGAGAAGUGAUCCUUCUUCCUGAUUCCGGUGGCAGCGUCAGCAAGAGCAACAGAGGCAGUGGCAAGAGCAGCAGUGGCCGUGGCCGUGGUAGCGGCGGCAGGAGCAAGGGACAGCUCUGAGGCUCCUGCUCUGGAGGCCGGAUCAGAACAGCGGCACAGCGGUGGACUCUGGGGACACAAUUCAACUCAUAGAAGAUGGGUUCAGAAGUGUAGGCUGCUAGAUGUCUGUGACUGCUUCACGUUUCUAAAGAGACCAAAGCGGCAAGGCAUGCUGUCUACAGCUGAUUAGUACCUGCCAACACAGCACCUGUGCCUGCCUACAGGGCUCAGCGUGGGGGAUUUAAGAAGACACCAGCCGCCUGGACUUGUUCGCUGCAAAUUCAGUAUGACUUGUGAGCCAAAAUAUCAGCCCCUCUAAUGAAGCUGUGAAAAGGACCUAGGAACAGCUUGAUUCCUCAGAACAACCAAGGAAGUGAAUGAAUACCUCAAAGGGUCUGUGUGGUGAGCAGCUCAAGACAUCAGCAUUCUCUUCUGAUCUCUCCAGAGUUUUAAACAACC